UACGUAGGGGGCAAGCGUUGUCCGGAUUUAUUGGGCGUAAAGAGCGUGUAGGCGGCUAGGUAGGUCCGUUGUGAAAACUCGAGGCUCAACCUCGAGACGCCGGUGGAAACCAUCUAGCUAGAGUCCGGAAGAGGAGAGUGGAAUUCCUGGUGUAGCGGUGAAAUGCGCAGAUAUCAGGAAGAACACCCGUGGCGAAGGCGGCUCUCUGGGACGGUACUGACGCUGAGGCGCGACAGCGUGGGGAGCAAACAGG
rnacentral:rRNA from 1 species